GCUCGCUUUGGCAGCACAUACUAAAAUUGGAACAAUAGAGAGAGGAUUAACAUGGCCCCUGAGCAAGGAUGACAUGCAAAUUCAUGAAGCAUUCCAUAUUGUU